UAAAACUAUAGGUUAUGUUGUAUUCGAUGCAAUAUAAAACUAUAGGCUAUAUGUUAUAUUUGAUAUAACAUAUAGUGUGUAUAUAUAUUAUUAAUUUAAUUUAUUUAAAUAAAUUUUAAUUAAAGGAAGGUAGCUAUAACUCCCCCCUCCCCUCUUCAACGUGGGUUGUGGAAGAAUGAAUGGUUCUUACUCAUCUUCUUCCACAAUUCUCUCUGUGAGUUGGUUCUCUCUGAAAAAAGUUUAUAAAGAAGAAAAAUCCCCCUACUUCUCUCCAUAUUCUUCCCUCUUUCAAAACCCUAAGGCAGAGCCCACACCUCUUGUCAUUCUCAAUCCCUAAGGAGAAUAUAGGAGGCUCCGUUUGGUAGUGUCCCUUUUGGAGAAAGAGAUCCAUUUGAGGGAGUUCUUGAAGAAAGUGCUCCAAAGGGAGGCUAGAAGCCACAAACGUGGGAAGCAUGUAGAGCACAAAUAUCAUCUUAUCUAGGAGAUUGUGCAUCGAGCGUGAUCGUCAUGAAGAUUGCUACGGAGAACAAUGUUGCUGAUCCAUUUAUAAAGGCUCUCAUGACUAAAGUGUUUGAUUGUCACCUGAAGAGUCUAGGUUUACAAGACAUGCUUCAUCUAGUCUAGGACAAUUGGGAGAUUUUACUAGGCCCGUUGUGUAUGCCCUAGUUUAUUGUUUUGUAUACUUUACUUAGUUUCUGUACUUUAUAUUUGUACACCUCAUUAACUUUAGAACAAGUGAGAGAUUGUUGGGCUGAUGCCCUAAAUCUUGUGGUCUUGUAGUUUACAAACUUUAUUAUACAAACAAAUUAUUUAUUUAAUAAAAUAAGUGUUAUUUUAUUUGA